GACAAAGAGGUUAGCCUUGUAUUCACAAAGCCCUUCAACAAUAGAAUUGCUUGAAAGCAAAGUGGUCCUUUGAUUAUUAACUUCAAUAAAUUUCACAAGUUGGCAUCCAGCAAGUAUUCAUCUAAACAAAAAGUAGUACAAUCAUUAUCACUUUGAAUGUUUCAAAUUAUUAUUGGAUAGCACAUUAGCAAAAUGCUAUUUUUUUUUUCUUUUUCCUUUUUUCUUUUUUUCUCCUGAAAGCAGCAAAAUGUCUGAUAUAGUUCUAUACAUAUCAAAA
rnacentral:lncRNA from 1 species